GAUGAACGCUAGCGGCAGGCUUAACACAUGCAAGUCGAGGGGUAGAGGAAGCUUGCUUCCUUGAGACCGGCGCACGGGUGCGUAACGCGUAUACAAUCUACCUUUUACAGAGGGAUAGCCCAGAGAAAUUUGGAUUAAUACCUCAUAGUAUUUUCGGAUCGCAUGAUUUGAUUAUUAAAGUUCCAACGGUAAAGAUGAGUAUGCGUCCCAUUAGCUAGAUGGUAAGGUAACGGCUUACCAUGGCAAUGAUGGGUAGGGGUCCUGAGAGGGAGAUCCCCCCACACUGGUACUGAGACACGGACCAGACUCCCUACGGGAGGCAGCAGUGAGGAAUAGUUGGACAAUGGGCGCAAGCCUGAUCCAGCCAUGCCGCGUGCAGGAAUAAGGUCCUAUGGAUUGUAAACU
rnacentral:rRNA from 1 species